GAUGAACGCUGGCGGCGUGCCUAAUACAUGCAAGUCGAGCGAACAGAUGAGGAGCUUGCUCCUCUGACGUUAGCGGCGGACGGGUGAGUAACACGUGGAUAACCUACCUAUAAGACUGGGAUAACUUCGGGAAACCGGAGCUAAUACCGGAUAAUAUAUUGAACCGCAUGGUUCAAUAGUGAAAGACGGUUUUGCUGUCACUUAUAGAUGGAUCCGCGCCGCAUUAGCUAGUUGGUAAGGUAACGGCUUACCAAGGCAACGAUGCGUAGCCGACCUGAGAGGGGUGUCGGCCACCCUGGAACUGAGGAACGGUCCAAACUCCUACGGGGAGCAACAGGAGGGAAUCUUCCGGAAUGGGGGAAAGGCUGACGGAGGAACGCCGGGGGAAGGAUGAAGGUCUUCGGAUCCGAAAACUCUGUUAUUAGGGGAGAACAAAAGUUGAAGUAACUGUUCCCGUCUUGACGGUACCUAAACAAAAAGCCACGGCUAACUUCGUG
rnacentral:rRNA from 1 species